rfam:Rhodnius prolixus Rhodnius_prolixus-3.0.3-3050.1, whole genome shotgun sequence.
UCGAACCAUCUAGUAGCUGGUUCCCUCUGAAGUUUCCCUCAGGAUAGCUUGCACUCGGUUGAGACGAGUCUCAUCCGGUAGAGCGAAUGAUUAGAGGCAUUGGGGUCGAAACGACCUCAACCUAUUCUCAAACUCCAAAUAGAUGAGAUCCCCGGCUUUCUUAAAAGUGAAGCCGUGGGAAUAGGAUCAGAGUGCCAAGUGGGCCAAUUUUGGUAAGCAGAACUGGCGCUGUGGGAUGAACCAAACGCAGAGUUAAGGCGCCUAAAUUGACGCUCAUGUGAAACCAUGAAAGGCGUUGGUUGCUUAAGACAGCAGGACGGUGGCCAUGGAAGUUGGAAUCCGCUAAGGAGUGUGUAACAACUCACCUGCCGAAGCAACUAGCCCUGAAAAUGGAUGGCGCUGUAGCGUCGUGCCUAUACUCUGCCGUCAAUGACAAAGAUGAUUAAUAAGCUGUGUGUUAAUUAAUGUUGUAGUCUUGACUGCAGUAUUGUUAAUUACAAAGUUUAUUACUAUAUCAUCAUUAUGUCUUGAUGAGUAAGAGGGCCGCGGCGAUGAGCGCAGAAGGGUCUGGGCGAGAGCCCGCCUGGAGCCGUCGCUGGUGCAGAUCUUGGUGGUAGUAGCAAAUACUCCAGCGAGGCCCUGGAGGACUGAUGUGGAGAAGGGUUUCUUGUGAACAGCUGUUGCACAAGAGUCAGUCGAUCCUAAGCCCUAGGAGAAAUCCGAAGCGAUAUGCGCCCGUUAAAUAAUUUUUUUUUAUUAAAUGUUUGGCGCUAUCUGGGCGAAAGGGAAUCCGGUUCCUAUUCCGGAACCCGGCAGCGGAACCGUUCCAAAUCGGGCUCUCAUUUGAGAACUCGUCGGGGUAACCCGACAAGACCCGGAGACGCCGUAGGGAAAUUCGGAGAGAGUUGUCUCUUCUCUAUAAGCGUUCGAGUUCCCUGGAAACCUCUAGCAGGGAGAUAGGGUUUGGAACGCGAAGAGCACCGCAGUUACGGCGGUGUCCGGAUCUUCCCUACGGACCUUGAAAAUCCGGGAGAGGGCCACGAGGAACCCCGCGCCGGCUCGUACCCAUAUCCGCAGCAGGUCUCCAAGGUCAAUAGCCUCUAGUCGAUAGAAUAAUGUAGGUAAGGGAAGUCGGCAAAUCCGAUCCGUAACUUCGGGAUAAGGAUUGGCUCUGAGGACUGAGUCGUGCCGGGCUUGGUCGGGAAGUGGAGCGGUGUCAACGUGCCGGGCCUGGGCGAGGAGAAAAUUGCGUUUCUGCGCUUUUGGAUCCGAGCUCGGUCCCGUGCCUUGGCCACCCACGGAUCUUCCUUGCUGCGAGUCGUUAGCCGUGUGGUUACCGCUGGCUUUUGCUAGCUGGUCGACCUGGCUUACGAUCUCUUCGGCCGACAUUCAACAGUCAACUCAGAACUGGCACGGACAAGGGGAAUCCGACUGUCUAAUUAAAACAAAGCAUUGCGAUGGCACCAACGGGUGUUGACGCAAUGUGAUUUCUGCCCAGUGCUCUGAAUGUCAAAGUGAAGAAAUUCAAGCAAGCGCGGGUAAACGGCGCGGUUAUUGUUCAAUUGUCUUAUGUUAUGGGGAGCCAUACCAGGUGAAAUGUUAGAGGCGCAGACCACAAUGAUUCCGAAGGUAUCAGGGCCGCUCGCUCCGGGGGAUUAUAGGCCCAUAACUGUGGCCUCGGUUAUUGUGCGUCACUACCACAAGCUAUUGGCACGCCGGCUGGGCGACGCGU